ACGCACACCUCGUGCAGGCCGGUUCCGGGCGCGCCGUCCACGCCCAGCCGACCACUGGCCGCCAUGUUUCGUUGGUG
rnacentral:sRNA from 1 species